CCUACGGGAGGCAGCAGUGGGGAAUCUUGGACAAUGGGCGCAAGCCUGAUCCAGCCAUGCCGCGUGGAUGAUGAAGGCCCUAGGGUUGUAAAAUCCUUUCGUCAGGGACGAUAAUGACGGUACCUGAAGAAGAAGCUCCGGCUAACUUCGUGCCAGCAGCCGCGGUAAUACGAAGGGGGCUAGCGUUGUUCGGAUUUACUGGGCGUAAAGCGCGUGUAGGCGGGUCGUUAAGUUAGGGGUGAAAUCCCAAGGCUCAACCUUGGAACUGCCUCUAAAACUGGCGACCUGGAGCAGAAGAGAGGCGAGUGGAAUUCCGAGUGUAGAGGUGAAAUUCGUAGAUAUUCGGAGGAACACCAGUGGCGAAGGCGACUCGCUGGCUUCUUGCUGACGCUGAGACGCGAAAGCGUGGGGAGCAAACAGGAUUAGAUACCCUUGUAGUC
rnacentral:rRNA from 1 species